ACACAGAACAGCAGAGAAGGCCUUUAGUGCCAGCAAGAGGUUUUCAAAGCAGUGGGUGAAGCAGGGCUGGGAUGUGCCCUCUUGGAGUGGAGUGAACUCUUGGAGCUGCAGCAAGACCAUGGAUGCAGAUGCACCAUUGGCUGUGGACAGGCAGCACUCCCCAUGCACGAUGGAAACACGUCCCCAAGGUGCCCAGGACAGAAGGACUGUGAAGGUGAGAAGAAGAGUGGCAGCAUCAAGAAGCACAUGCAGCAUCAUGGGGCUCACCAAGGGGAAAUCUUCCAUACCCAGUCUAAUAGCCUUCCACAAUGAAAUGACUUGCUGUGUAGAUGAGAGAGCAGUGAGUGCUGUCUACCUUGACUUCAGCAAGGCUCUUGACACAGUUCCCUCUAACAUCCUCAUAGGUAAGCACAGGAAGCAUCCGUUGAUACUGUUGCUUGUCUGUUUUCUGGAGAAAAUGCACAGGACACAGUUAUCAAAGCACAGAGUGUCAGGGCAAGGUGUGCAGCACAACCAGGCAUUCUGUACGGGAUGCUGUGAGAAUAAAUAACUUCAAGAAAUUUUGGAGAGCCUUUUUGCUGGUCUUCUUCUCCACAAAAUUGUGCAGCCCAAUCCAAGAGGGCAAACCCCCUGCCAGUAAGAGAAUGAUAUACUCUGAAAGGGCCUGCAGAGUUCAGGAACAUCUUAGUUACUUAAGCAAGCUCCUGCAUCGCCCACAAGCUUUUCAGCAGCUGAAGGGGAGCACAAACUUUUGCAGCAAAGCAUCUACAAAUCUUACUCUCUGCUGGGACAAUCUCCCCAGACUCUCCACCAUGGUGCUCAGAUUCACGGUGCAAAGCAACAGCUCUUAAUCCAGUCCUUCGGCAUCAGAGGAAGAAAUUACCUUAUCCCUAUUGGAAAGGAUUUCCUAGUAGAGUAAGUGUCUCAAACCUCUUGCUACAAACUCAGUGAAUAUGUCAGUAAAAAUACGUGCCAGUAUGGAAAUGCUGAUCAGAGCUGGAGUUCUGAAAUAAUAUUUCUGGAUUAACACAAGCUCUCAAAAUAAAAUAUAUAUAUAUAUAUAUAUAUUAUGUGCUUAACAAGUUACCUGUCAUCUGAUAGGUUAUGAUGGCAAAAAUCUUCCAGAAUUGAGUUGACCUUAAUGCAUAAAUGUAGAAAGCAGUGUAGGGGAGACACGGUGAAAUUGCAAGCUUUUUGUGACUGUUUGCUCUCAAAACACUGUGACUGGUUCUACACCUGAAAGCCACUAAAUGUAUUUGUUGUUUGAUAUUUUUUAAGUGCCGUUAUGCCUGAGAGGUGUUAAUGGCUCAUCCAUUAGUUGUGACCCAGACUUCACAGCUUCACCCCUGACUUCAUUAGAGCGAUUGUGUGGGUUAAUGCACUCUACUUUUAUCUGGCAGUUAGACCUCCCAGGUUCGUUUGUAUCAAAGCUGCUGUACAAAGGAAGGGUCCCCUUUGAAGAAUCAUGGCCUUGCAGAAGAAUCUUUGAGCUGAGGACAAUUCCUAAGGGGAAGGAUGGGGUAAGAAAGAAAACCUUGUUUUGGUGUGCAGAAAGUAACACGAACUGCAGAGAUGCACAGUGUUUGGAAGUGGUCACAUCUCACAGAAAAUCAAGUUCUAUCAUGGUUUCUGCAAGAGGUUUGUCAGUGUUUCUCAAAUGACAAAAAGAUACUACUACCAUCCCCUGCAGUAGAAAAGAUGGUAUACAGCAUCAUCUUCAGUGCAGAAAUACAACAGGAAUCUGGAAUUUAUGGACUAAAAUAACUGUAACCUUCAGGCACCACACAGCAGGUAGCUUUGGAAUGCCAAGUUAAUGGCAUGCAGAGCACAAGGCUGGCUAAUGUACACACUAGCGCUGCAAGAGCCUACAUGCACCGAUUCCUGUGACCCGGGAGAAGAUGCCUUACAAAUCACAGUGUGGUCCCAGGGAUGUGGAGUGCUGAGCUCACCAUAUAAGGCAAGCACACAGAAAGGUCAUGGGGGAAGGAAAUGAAUUAGGCAUCCUGGCUCAUCUGCAGACAUCUGUGUAGUCACAACAUCUCUGAAAUAUUCCCCCUAUGGCAAACCAUCCACAGUAUUGGAAGAGGAAAUUUGUCUUGUUGAUUAUAUGUUUAACUUCUUUUUUAGUCAUGCUUUAGCAUAAUCAAAUAGCAUAGCUUCCUAUCAACUUUCAUGGGCAGCAUAGUGACAGAAGCAGUAAUCCAUCUCUUCACAUCAGAUCCGCAUCCUCAACAAGCCCUGAGCAUAGUUACAGACACAUAUCCCACAGAGACCCAAAGGACACCAAGAAUGGAAGGAGAAAAUGAAGACAACUGCUCUCCCUUUUUUAAAAACAUUCUGAGCACAUGAAAAUGUGUACCCUUAAACUAGAUUUGUGGUAGCUGCUUGAAAAAUGCAUAUAAAAUUCUCCAUGUGAGAGAAAGCACUUUAAUAAAGAAAUAUUGCAUUGUUGAACUCACUGUCCCCAAACGAACAACGUGGAGAGUUCUUGCAUUUAAGGAAAACAGAAAUGUGGUGACCCCGUUGCCCAGUGGUAAAUUCAGCAAUUGAAGGAGUUGAAGCACAUCCCUGAUUUUGUACCCAAAUCCCAGAAGGCAGCGAGCAGAGCAGCACAUCCUGUGGAUAUGUCUUGGAGAUAGGUAUGUGACUGCUGCUGUGCUGUAAGUCGGGGCACAGCAAUGCAUUGUGCUUAGCAUUUUGCUCCUGGGUCUGCUUUCCACUCGACUCUGGUCAUGUAUACACACGUCAAGAAAGUAUACGAAUAUAACCAUAUCACAUUUUAUUUCUAAUGUAUACUAGAGACUUUGUUUCACGCAUUGCAGUGUAAAUGUUAAUACCACUUACAGAACAAUUUAAUAGGGACCUUAAUUUCACUUUCAAGACUAGAACUGGGAGGACGGGAGUUAGAUUGUGGCUUAAAGAUAAGCAGUCUUCCAGGAAGCAUGAGAAAAAUACAACUUAAGAAAAGUGAACUGUAUCAACAUUUUGUGGGCUAAUGAAAGGCUGCUCCACAGGAGGACUCUCAUCCAUGGUAAAUCAAGGCAGGUGCCAUGGCUGUCCCAUGCUCAGGGGCUUGCUGAGAGCCCAGGAGCCAUGGUCCAACUGUACAUGUCUCCUAAGCUGCUUCCCAUCAGCCUUGCCCACAUCAGACUCACAUUGCUGCAGCACACCUAGCAAGGGAUUUUCUGUAACAAAGUGGGGGAGGAGGUAUUACACCUAGAUUAUGUUACUGUUCAGGGAGGAAGUUGAUAACUGCACAAGGAAACUUUCUUCUUGGUAUUGCUAGAAAGAUGCCCAAGAUGCAGUAUUACCCCUGAGGACCGCAAACUAUUCAGGACCACGCGUAGCUCUGCUAUGAAUUAUUCUCUGUAAAUAUCUACUAUAUUUAACCAAAAGAAAAACCUGAAAUGGGAAAAAAAAGAGCAGCAUACAACAUAUUUGCCAGCAGCCAUGGGAAAUAGGAACCAAAAAUAAAAAAAUUAACCCAGAGCCAAGUAAUAGAUUGCUAAUUAAGUUCUUGUGUUUAUUUACCGAAUAGAUGAUAAGUUAACCAAUAUAUGCCUGACCUUUUUAGUCAUAUUUCUAGCUAGGAAAGUCAUGGCUAUUAACUGCUACCAGGGUGCCAUGGGAUUCGUGUUCAGAGGCUUCCUUUUCACUUUGUUGUUGUAGCCUCUCAUCUUUUACUGACAUUACACACCACUCAUCACGAUCAGUGUCAGAAGCUAUAACAGCAUCUGUUGCAGUGGCAGCUUCUGCUGGAUGAAGAGUCUCCCUCUUUACCUUAAAUAGUGUCAAUCAUUUUUCAUUUUCAGCAUUCAGACUUGCUCAUCAGGUAGUAACAACACUUCCAGCUACACCAAACGUGAUUUUUGAAUAAACACUGGACUGAGAUCAUUGGAAAUGAUUGACAGCUUAUAAACCAUGCUUUUCAGAAACCAGCAAGGAAAGGGAAAAAAAAAUAAUAAAAAAAUAUUUCCCUCCUUC